rnacentral:lncRNA from 1 species
CUGCAUUCAUUAGAGAAAUGUUGGAACUGGUGGAAGAGGGAGGGAUUUGUUGCCCCUGGGCUGCUUUUCAGGGAGACUUAAGGGAAGGAUGGUAAUCUGUUGGAGAGUUGGACUGAGGACGCUGUGGCCAGGGUUUGCAGGAGACUCUCCUGCCCAUGGAUGGCUGCGUCCCUAAGGAAAGUUGACCUUCGCCAGUGCCUGCCUCUUGGGUGCAAUAGAAAGUAUGACAGUAAGAUAAAACCAGUCAGGGGAAUCAAACCCGAAAGCCAGAAGAGGUCAUUGGGAGGACCCUUGAAUGAAUGACUUUUCUUGCCACACCCACGCCGGAGACCUCACCAGGUGCACAUAUUUCCUGCUGCUGAAUGGCUUAGACUGGGAUUUGCAAGGAAUCACGAAGUUCAAGACCUCUGCCUUUCUUUUAGAAGAAGGCACCAGCUGGUUCUCCAAUGUUGAAGGUCUUCUCCAGAGAUGUGAGUUCAUUCCAGGACCCAUGCCAGCAUUUAAACAGUGCUCUGAUCCUUUGUUCAGGG